rnacentral:rRNA from 1 species
GAUGAACGCUGGCGGCGUGCCUAAUACAUGCAAGUCGAGCGAAUGGAUUAAGAGCUUGCUCUUAUGAAGUUAGCGGCGGACGGGUGAGUAACACGUGGGUAACCUGCCCAUAAGACUGGGAUAACUCCGGGAAACCGGGGCUAAUACUGGAUAACAUUUUGAACCGCAUGGUUCGAAAUUGAAAGGCGGCUUCGGCUGUCACUUAUUGAUGGACCCGCGUCGCAUUAGCUAGUUGGUGAGGUAACGGCUCACCAAGGCAACGAUGCGUAGCCGACCUGAGAGGGUGAUCGGCCACACUGGGACUGAGACACGGCCCAGGCUCCUACGGGAGGCAGCAGUAGGGAAUCUUCCGCAAUGGACGAAAGUCUGACGGAGCAACGCCGCGUGAGUGAUGAAGGCUUUCGGGUCGUAAAACUCUGUUGUUAGGGAAGAACAAGUGCUAGUUGAAUAAGCUGACACCUUGACGGUACCUAACCAGAAAGCCACGGCUAACUACGUGCCAGCCGCCGCCGUAA